UCACCUCUCCUUUAGGAGAGGUCGAAACUACUAAUAGUAGUUUCGGGUGAGGAU
rnacentral:ncRNA from 2 species